AAUAAACCGAUCCCGCAUCUAGUCAAAUGAUUUCCGUUCUCCCAACAAAGGAGAUCACACUAAUAUCAAGUCUCCAUGCCGUCCAAUCUCAUUUUCGAUCUCUCGUCAAAGGAAAUCAAACUAAUGUCAGGUCUCCAUGCCAUCCAGUCUUAUUUCCGAUCUCUCCUUUAUAAAUAUUAUGGUUUCAGUCCGACUUAACAGUGUUUCCGAUCUUAAGUGUUCAAAUCAAGUUUUCAAUUUUAAUGAUCUAAAGUUCUAUCCGGUGUUUGGUCUCUGCUUAGGCUGAUCUCAUGCUUACAAUAUUUUUCUGGUCUCUUAUACUUAGAUUAAUAAUCGUUUUAAGUAAAUGUUCCAAUAUGUUCAAACAAUCAAACACUCAUACCAUUUGGAUACUUUCCGAUCUCAUCAAGAAGUUGAGCAAAAGAGAUUCCAUUUCAUUUCAAAAUAAAAAUACAAGUCAUUCGGCUGGAGGAUC
rnacentral:misc_RNA from 1 species